rfam:Bombyx mori DNA, contig: Bm_scaf24_contig16222, strain: p50T/Dazao, build 2, whole genome shotgun sequence.
UUAACUAAAAUUUGUAUGGAGUUGGAACGUUUGCCGCUAAGGGCGCUGUUCCAACUGCAUACAAAUUUAAUGUU